GAUGAACGCUGGCGGCGUGCCUAAUACAUGCAAGUCGAGCGAACGGACGAGAAGCUUGCUUCUCUGAUGUUAGCGGCGGACGGGUGAGUAACACGUGGAUAGCCUACCUAUAAGACUGGGAUAACUUCGGGAAACCGUAGCUAAUACCGGAUAAUAUUUUGAACCGCAUGGUUCAAAAGUGAAAGACGGUCUUGCUGUCACUUAUAGAUGGAUCCGCGCUGCAUUAGCUAGUUGGUAAGGUAACGGCUUACCAAGGCAACGAUGCAUAGCCGACCUGAGAGGGUGAUCGGCCACACUGGAACUGAGACACGGUCCAGACUCCUACGGGAGGCAGCAGUAGGGAAUCUUCCGCAAUGGGCGAAAGCCUGACGGAGCAACGCCGCGUGAGUGAUGAAGGUCUUCGGAUCGUAAAACUCUGUUAUUAGGGAAGAACAUAUGUGUAAGUAACUGUGCACAUCUUGACGGUACCUAAUCAGAAAGCCACGGCUAACUACGCG
rnacentral:rRNA from 1 species